GCAGCAUUCCGGCUCCAGAACCCGCAAGGGCGCCCUCUGGCGAGGCAGCCACACCCACCGCAGAGGACCGUCAGCUCCAGAACCCAGGCAGUUCUGGGCUGGCUGCUGCAGCUCCCCGGCAGACACUGGCCUCCUGAGGCUGCUGUUUAUCCCCCAAUACAAAUGCUCUACUUUUAAAGAAAAAGACACUCACUCCUAGUAACAUUAGCUUCCUACAGAGAAAAUGAUGCGACCAGGCUUCCCACUGUGAAAAUGAAGUUAUGGGCCAUCAGGAGGGUUAAGCGCCACUCAGCUGAACAUUUCCUCCUAGGUGCGGAGCUGGGACCCUUGUUUUGAUACUUGGUGAUGGUAGCUUUGAAUAGGGCAAAGUAGAGGAAAGGGAGGACCUAGUAAUAGAACAGUGGCCUCCUGGAGAGAGGAAGGCUCUUUGUAGCCACAUAUACAGGUAACGCAUCUACUUCCUAGAUGAUCCCAGGGUCCCUGGAGAGCAAACACCUUUCUUGGCUGGGGAGAGUUCCACAGCUCUCCAUCAGCGCAUGUCCCAGUGACCUGAGUGCUGGAUAAGAACCAAGCACCAGAUUGUUCCUAGGGCACUGAUCUGCCAGACACUCCAUCAAAGGUAAUACCUGCCAUUCAUUACCUGUGCUGACAGAUGGGCUUCCUUUCCCCAGGUCCUUACAGUCAUGGACCCAGCAGAGCUGGAAAACUAAUGGAGGUCUCUAGAGUUGGAGUAGUAUUUCGUGCCUAACUUAAAUCUUAUAUGUGACAUCACCAUUUUUCAGAGCCCAAGCAAGAGUUUUCAAGAUAGAGUGGCUGGGUUGGCUAGUGUCCUUUCCAAAACACUAAUAAAAAGGAGGAUGUUCCUCUCUCUAGCUUUUUAUAGGACAAAGAUCCAGAGCCACUCUGAUUAACUCAGGCCCAGUCUAUAGUCUGUUUGUAUAGGGAUCUUGCUGCUCUGAAAACCAGAGAGAUGGAUAAAAACAAGCACCAUGCAAACCUUGCAUAGCACCCAGGUUACAUAGAGCCCGAGUUAACCAGAGCCACCUGCAUCUAUAUCACCUUAGAAUUCCGGAAGGUACUGGCUUCAGGCAAGUGGCUUCUGUCGUGAAGAAAAUAUAAUACUUUGAGUGUCAUUGCUACAAGGCAAGUGUUCCUAUGUACUCCAUCACACCAACUGCAGUGAGACUAUCAGGAAAGCUUUGGGUACCCUCCCCGGGAAAACUGCACAUCACUCUGCUGAAAUUUCAGGAAAAGUUUACGGGUCUCAAGGACAGAGCUGAAGUCAAAAAAUUUCACCUUCGUGUUAACUUUUAUGGAUUUUUAAGGGGAGGGGCAAAAAAAUUCAUUUCACCAUUCCCUUUGUCUUCUUAAAACUCAGAAGAAACCUCACACACAGACCAAUGAGUUUGAAAUCGCUAUUUUAAAAGGCAUAGCAGAAUUUUGAUAGAAAAAAUAGAGCAAAAGCAGUAAAACCUCAUCCCUAACAUUGUCCAGCUGCCUGACAUCCUGGUUCAGUUCCGGAGACUUUGCAUCACUCCCUAGUUCCAGGGGGUGGCACAGGAGCCAAAAUGAGACCUGAGGCUGAGGCCCAACAGAAGAUGAAACUUGGGAGCAGCCUCAGCUCCAGGAAUCCUCACUUUCUGGCACAGCAGGUUUGGGUGCCGCAGAGCCCAGGGCUAGGCGCCUGCCAGCAGUCCAUCAGUCACAGUCUCAGAUGAGUGGCAUCAAGGUGGAGCCCACUGAAGUGAAGAAGAGCUGUGAGGGACACCUGCAGCAGAAAUGUCCGCCCCCUGCCUUGUCCCACUGAAGCUCCAUCUCACAGUUGGAGAAGUGGAAGCAAAGGAACCUGUCCUAGACCACACAGCCUGGCCCUGUUUCCAGAGCCAGAGGUCUUUGGGCUCUGGAACAAAGACAGUGACCCCAUUAACCCACUGGCACUGUGUGCCAGGCACUUGGCCUGUGUCGUCUCAUUGCGGCACAGAGCAGCCCUGGGAAUGGAAGCAGUGUCAUUCCUAUUUUUCAGGUGAGGUACAGACUCAGAAAGGUCAAGAAACUUGCUCACGGUCUCACAGCUGGUGAGCUGGUUGUCAGACUCCCAAGAUGUGCGCUGCUAACCCUGCCCAAAGGGACUUCAUCCUCCUUCCUCGACAGCUCUCCCGACCACCCGCCAACAGGCAACGUAGGUGUGACUGCCUUCAGAAGUUUUCUACCUGCCUUCAAGCUUGAAGCACUAGAGACUGAGGGAAGAGAGAACUGGAAGUGAAGGAAGAAAAAAGAGUUAUUGCCCUCCUGCAGUGAACCUCCAAGGUUGUUUCCUCAGGCCUGACUGGACUGGAAGAAGCAGGGGGUGUGUGUCUGUGUGUGUGUGUGUGUGUGUGUGGUGUGUGUGUGUGUAAUUUGACUUUGUGACCAUGAAACUGAGUGAAUACUCUUCUGUCGUUGCCUGUUUCUUCUUGUACAUUGCCUAGAGGAAUACCCAUUAAUGUUUAGAGGCAUGGAAUGAUAGAAAAUAACACUGUUCAAGGACCAAAAAUUUAAAAAUUGCUGACAUACAGCAUAGAAUGUGAAAGUCCCUGAUAAUCUUAUCCUUAGGGAUAACCACUUGCCAUUUUUUACAAUUUGAAUUUUUUUAUGAUUACAAAAGUCAGACACAUUUAAAAAUACUUUAAAACAAAAUAAAAAUAAAUGCUUCAUUGCUCAGGUUACCUUAGUACAGGCAAGGUCUGAGACCACAUCCAUCAAUGCAAUUUGCUGCAUGGAUUACCAGAUCUCCCCACCAUUGACCUCUUGAUUUUUUUUCACUCUGAGAGCAAACAGAAUGGGCAAGGGCUGACCUGAAAUCCUUUUGAAACACAGGCUGGAUCCUAGGGCUUUGACCUCCACUGCUCACUGCCACACAGGAUCCAUCUCUGUGCCCCACUCCCACUGGCCUUCCUGCUGCUGCUCACACAGGCCUACUCCUAAGGCUUCUGCAUACUCUGUUCCCUGCAGAGACCUCUCUUCCUCUGAACAAAUGUGGGACCCAUCUCUGCCAAGGCUGGGAAGCAAACAGCCCCCACUUUGCCUUGCCAGCCUGUGUUUGCACCAUUCCUGUGGUGGCCUCUCCCAGCUGCUUUCAUGUGGCAUUUGAGCUCUGGGAAGCUGGAAGUUUGUAGAGUCCAGUUCCCUCAUUCUGCAUAUAUGGACGAUAAAGCCCACAGGCAAGGGCUCUGACAAAAGGAAAAAUGCUUUCCAUUUGGCAUUGUGAUGCAGAGGCUGUCACAGACAAGCCUAGGAAUUUGGGAUACAUCUUGCUGAGCCUAGAGACAGAAAAGAGCUUCUAGGCUGCCUUCCCUGAGCCCCAGGCCAGGCCCCUCCAGGACACACUUGCAUGGCACCCUGUUCUACAAAACACUGCACACUAAUGACGAUGCAAAGGAUUAACUGACUUUUCCAUAUUCUUGUUUUCUACCAAGUGAUAAGCUUCAGAAGGACAAGGUAUGAGUCCAUUUUGCUUUUUGCCUUCCCCAGCACAUGGCACAAUGCCCAGCACAUAGUGUUUUGAGAGACAGCUGACUGGCUGUCUCAUACAAGGUCCUGCUCUGUUGGACACAAGGGCUGCUUAACACAUUCCUGUGCUACAAAAGACGGGCAGUGCUCCUCUCCUCUAGGAGCCACCAAAUAAAUCCAGAUACGAAUGCCAAAAAGAGGGCAGCACCAGCUUAGGGACAGAGUGCCUUGAUAAGGCACUGUUUCUAUCCAUGGAGGCAGUGUGGAACGAUAGGAAUGAUCCAGGACCUAGGGGAGAGAGCUUAAGUCUUCCUUGCAGCCAAAAGCCUUCAAACCUGAGCUAGCCAGAACUGUUGUGUCAGAAUUCUCACCCAUGACAAGCAGCCUGGAGGUAGGGAUUCCAGGGUUGAUGCAUUGACUUAAGGUGUCAUCAAAAGCUUAGACUACCCUUCUGCUGCACCACCCUUAUCACCUCGUGGUCACAAGAGGACUACUGCUGUUCAAGUCAUCACUUCCACAUUCCAAAAGGAAGAAAGGAGAGGUAGAGGGGCCAGAAGUAUCCCCACCUUUUAGGAGGCAUUAGCUUUCCCAGAAACUUCCAUGUCCACCCAGCAGACUUCCACUUACAUCUCACUAGGCAGAACUCCUAUCAAUUGGCUACCCCAGCAGUCAGGGAAGCUGGAAAGGUGAGCAUUCAGCUAUAGAGAGUGGAAACACAAGCAGCGAGGGAAGAACAGGUCAGUCAUCACUGUAGAGUUCCCCACCCUGCAGCAUUUGCCAAAACUAGGUAAAUUAUUUUUUAACAUAACAGUGUUUUUGUGGAUUUUCUUAUUACAAAAGCAAUGCAUAUACAUUGUUACUUUAGAAAAUAAAGAUUUUAAAUCUUCAACAAGCCCAUUACUCAGAAGUGACAACUGUUAUUCCUGGUUUAUUAGCUUUCUAGAUCUUUGUAUUUUUUUUUAACAUGGGUGGAACCACAAUACGGGUUGCUUUGAAAUCAGCCUUUGCACUUGGCAUUGUGAAAAAUCUUUCCAAAUCAUUAAAUGUUCUCUACAGAAUUA